rnacentral:rRNA from 1 species
ACAUUCGGGAGGCUAACACAUGCAAGCCGAGCGGUAGAGUCUCUUCGGGGACUUGAGAGCGGCGUACGGGUGCGGAACACGUGUGCAACCUGCCUUUAUCAGGGGGAUAGCCUUUCGAAAGGAAGAUUAAUACCCCAUAAUAUAAUGAACGGCAUCGUUUAUUAUUGAAAACUGAGGUGGAUAGAGAUGGGCACGCGCAAGAUUAGAUAGUUGGUGAGGUAACGGCUCACCAAGUCAGUGAUCUUUAGGGGGCCUGAGAGGGUGAUCCCCCACACUGGUACUGAGACACGGACCAGACUCCUACGGGAGGCAGCAGUGAGGAAUAUUGGACAAUGGGUGAGAGCCUGAUCCAGCCAUCCCGCGUGAAGGACGACUGCCCUAUGGGUUGUAAACUUCUUUUGUACAGGGAUAAACCUAUUUACGUGUAAAUAGCUGAAGGUACUGUACGAAUAAGCACCGGCUAACUCCGUGCCAGCAGCCGCGGUAAUACGGAGGGUGCAAGCGUUAUCCGGAUUUAUUGGGUUUAAAGGGUCCGUAGGCGGAUCUGUAAGUCAGUGGUGAAAUCUCACAGCUUAACUGUGAAACUGCCAUUGAUACUGCAGGUCUUGAGUAAAGUAGAAGUGGCUGGAAUAAGUAGUGUAGCGGUGAAAUGCAUAGAUAUUACUUAGAACACCAAUUGCGAAGGCAGGUCACUAUGUUUUAACUGACGCUGAUGGACGAAAGCGUGGGGAGCGAACAGGAUUAGAUACCCUGGUAGUCCACGCCGUAAACGAUGCUAACUCGUUUUUGGGUUUUCGGAUUCAGAGACUAAGCGAAAGUGAUAAGUUAGCCACCUGGGGAGUACGUUCGCAAGAAUGAAACUCAAAGGAAUUGACGGGGGCCCGCACAAGCGGUGGAUUAUGUGGUUUAAUUUCGAUGAUACGCGAGGAACCCUUACCAAGGCUUAAAUGGGAAUUUGACAGGGUUUAGAAAUAGACUUUUCUUCGGACAAUUUUCAAGGUGCUGCAUGCUGUCGUCAGCUCGUGCCGUGAGGUGUUAGGUUAAGUCCUGCACGAGCGCAACCCCUGUCACUAGUUGCCAUCAUAAGUGGGGACUCUAGUGAGACUGCCUACGCAGUAAAGAAGAAGGUGGGGGGAAUGAC